rnacentral:rRNA from 1 species
AUGGAGAUGACUUCGAGGGUGGUGGUGCAACUGGUGCAUGGAGUCGUGGUGGUCUUGAAGGAUGCACUCCAGCUGCAAGGUGCUCGAGGGCUCGACCUUGAACGGCCAACGAGCGGAGACACGCCCUUGCACCAGGUGCCGGAGCUGCCGCUUAACAUCUGCAUGGUAUCCGAGAUGUUCCUGCAGAUCCUUGCCACGGGGCUCGGCGCCCUCGCCUUAGUCUGGGCGACCGUCGUCCUGCUCGGCGGUUUCUCCACUUCUCUACAGACGGCUGAUUUCUGGGUCAUCACUGCUAUCGUCUUCAUCCAAACAGCCAGGGUCGUGGGCAUAAAUGUAAGCCCCGAGGCAGAAUUUUUCAACCAAGUUCCACCAGCAUUCCUUGAAUUGGGCGCCGAGCACUACACGAAAUGGGGGCGAGGAAGGCCGCUGACUGGCCGAGCAACUGGCUCUAAAUUCGUUUACUAUCUCAUGCUGGGACUUGGAAGUGCAAGGGAUUUCAUAUACUUUACGGCCUUCUUAGCAAUAUUGGUCCUUGCAGUUCCAAUGAUCGCAGGGUUAGGCUGCAUAUCACUUUCCAUCUAUCGUCUCCUUGCCAUCCUGUCGAGACACCAUGACAAUUCCAAUGUGUUUCGUGCACUCAUCUUGUUCUAUGCUCUCGUGCUUCUCCAAGGUGGAUUGUUCAUCUUGUGGUUGUUUCUGAGGUUGUAUCGUUCUGAUCUCGCAAACCACGUGAGCUUCAAGUAUGGACUUGAGGACAAGAGAGAAUUGAUUGACAAAUAUAUGGACAAAACCUUGGGCACGGCCAUAAAAAAUGGGGUGGCAGGUACCAUCAACAGGAACCUGGCUUCCUUCGCAGCAGAAAUGAUGAAAUCUGAGUACAGUCAGGACCGCAUUGAUGCAGUUUUGGUGAUGCAUAGAUUGACAUCCCAAGAGGACCAUAGAACAAGAACACUAUCCCAGAUACAAUCAUCACCGCUCUGUGUCUCCAGGCUGCUUGACAUGGUUACCUCAAAGAGCCGCACUGAUCAGAGGACAAAAAUAUGCAUCGCACAAAUUGUGGCACAUCUUGCUAGCAACUUGCGCCUGGCUGACAUAUCAGGAGCAACAGAGUCCAUUUCUUCCAUGAUUGAUCCCUACUUUACGAAAAUAUCAACACCGGCUACCAAUGUCAACAUUGACCAUCAGACAGCUAUUGACAUCACAAUUGACCAGCAGGGGGCUAUUCAGUCAGCCAGCGCUGCCAAUGGAGGAGAAAGCAAUGGAUCUUGUAUUUUUGUUAAGCAAUUAAUGGAAAGGGUAGCUCGGCAGAGAGCAGAAAUCAUCAGAAAUAGACAGCAAAGAACUCUUCGAUCCUCCAGGACUACCAGUGGAGCUGAAAGCAAACCUCUAAUUAUCCAUGGCCUGUUGAUUCUUGCCAAGCUUGCAGUUAACCCGGACAACUGCAAACACAUAUAUGAUUACAAGGGUCUCUUCUCCAAGAUCAUAUCCCCAGUCAAAAAUAAAGUGUAUGAGAUCCUCAGAGAUGAUGGUAUCACCAUGGAAAUAACUGAGAAGGCACUGGAAGUGGUGAGCAUGCUUGUCAGUGGCACAGAUGAAACCAAUGAAAAGAUACGCCGAGAUAUUUGUAGCAACGGGAUAGUAGCGCACGAUAUUUGCUCAAUCUUGGAACAGGACCACAUGUACGACAAGCUAAAGGUUCCAGCAACAAAGAUCCUUACGGAGCUAUCUUUGGAUACGUCCACUCAAGCUACCCUUGGACUUGAUGGCGUAGCUGAAUUCAUUAACGACUUGAUGGACAUCUUCUUUGAUGCUGCUAAUGAGAGUGAAGAACUCAAGAAGACAGCAGGGGAAGCAUUGGCAGUACUGGCAAUGGACAAUGCCAAUUGUAUAACGAUCAUGAAUUUCAGCACAGAGACAAAUACUUCAGUUCAGCUGCUCACAGAUAUGAUUAAUGCAGUAAACCCCAGAUUAUAUCAAACUCCCAUAGCACAACUGCUGAUGCAACUUUGUGCAAAUUCUAAUCCUGCAGAAAGGGAGGAGUAUCUCGCAUCAGUCAAAACAAAUCUACAUGAGGUGCUCAAAGUUAUAUGCAAUGUUGAACAAGCAGAAAAUACAAAUCAGGUGGGUUCUCCACAGCACAACUUAGGCCAGCAACAAGCAGCAAACACAAAUCAGGCGGGUUCUCCCCAGCAUAACCCGGUCCUGCAACAAGCAGCAAACACAAAUCAGGCAGGUUCCCCACAGCAUAACUCAGGCCAGCAACAAGCAGCAAACACAAAUCAGGCGGGUUCUCCCCAGCAUAACCCGGGCCAGCAACAAGCAGCAAACACAAAUCAGGUGGGUUCUCCACAGCACAACCUUGGGCAGCAACAAGCAGCAAAUGCAAAUCAGACAGGUUCUCCACAGGACAACCGGGGCCGGCCCCCAUUUUCUCGGGCAUUUUAUCGCUUGAACAGUUUUCUCGGGGCUCACCACUCUCACGCUGCUAACCGAAACAAUCCCAAUGACAAUUUGCCGGCUGUUACUCAGCUUGUAGGUGCUAGAAGAAAAUCCCUGGCAGCCUUCUUAGGCCUUACAUUGGAGAUAUGUGACAAACUGGAGAUAAGUCCAGAUGAUUUUGAUGAUGCACUUGCGCUCAUUCCUCUUUCCAUGGAUGACUUUGUGGAUAAACUGAAUCAUAUAAUAGAACAGUGCAAGGGCCACUCUGUUGAUAGCUUGGAAGGGAAGGGUCCCUCAAUUGAGUAUCUGAUAAUAAUCAAGACAGUGACAAAGUUAUGUACAUGGAUGAUGCAAAGCAAGCCAGACUGCAUUACAGUAUUCCAGAACAAGAACACUAGCUCAAAACUGCAAGGUGCCUUGGAGGAUAUGAGAGACCUGGAACUAGGUAUGCUCCUUACCGGCAGUGCAGGGGACAUGGCUAAUUACCAACCCCUUUCAAACAUCAUGGGUGUUGCACGGCAGAUGAUGGAUGCUAAUGUGCAAGUUUAA